rnacentral:rRNA from 1 species
UUGAACGCUGGCGGCAUGCCUUACACAUGCAAGUCGAACGGCAGCAUGAUCUAGCUUGCUAGAUUGAUGGCGCGUGGCGAACGGGCGAGUAAUACAUCGGAACGUGCCCUGUAGUGGGGGAUAACUAGUCGAAAGAUUAGCUAAUACCGCAUACGACCUGAGGGUGAAAGUGGGGGACCGCAAGGCCUCAUGCUAUAGGAGCGGCCGAUGUCUGAUUAGCUAGUUGGUGAGGUAAAGGCUCACCAAGGCGACGAUCAGUAGCUGGUCUGAGAGGACGAUCAGCCACACUGGGACUGAGACACGGCCCAGACUCCUACGGGAGGCAGCAGUGGGGAAUUUUGGACAAUGGGCGAAAGCCUGAUCCAGCAAUGCCGCGUGUGUGAAGAAGGCCUUCGGGUUGUAAAGCACUUUUGUCCGGAAAGAAAUGGCUCUGGUUAAUACCUGGGGUCGAUGACGGUACCGGAAGAAUAAGGACCGGCUAACUACGUG